AGUGGUGAGAAGGAUAGCAAUAUUGAUGAUACUAUUUUAAUUAAUAUAAAUUAAUAUAUUAAAGCGGCGGGAACAUAUCUUUAAAAGAUAUCUGAAUUAAGGCAAAUUUAUUUUAGGUUUUUUAGUAACGUGUUUGAAAUUUUCUGUAGAAUUCAGUUGCUUCUUCAUAUAUUACUGUUUGGUUCUGCAAAUUAAAUUGAACUGAGAAAUUACCUGAUUUCAAAUUCAAUGGAGUGAUAUUCUGAAAACAUUUUCUUGACAUUUUCUGAUAUUAAAACAUAACACAAAUAGAAUGAAAAUAGAAUUCAAACAGUCGUUUGCGUUGGGUCCAUGAUAUUGUCAAUGUAUGUGACGCAGAGUGCUUGUUACCUGUUACCUCCACUAGUAGGUCAUAAUUCUUUUUAAAAGUUUAUUACUAUGAAAAAACAUUUAUCUCGACCUUGAUUCAAAAUUCGAUCAUCCAUUUUGUUGGAAUCUGACAAUCGUGGAGUCGCUUUUCAUGAAUGUGAACGGAUGUUUAGCGAUUUAACUAGUUUAGUUUUUGAAGCGAUUUUCUAAUUUAUGUACUCUAAAUUUAAGAGGUCGCAUUUUAUAUGUGAAAUAUUAAUUUACUUUUUAAAUUUAUUCUAUCUUCUUUCUGCCAUAAUUUCAAAAAGUAGUCGACUAUUCCUUCAUCGCUCGAAGAGAAAAGUUUUUCCCAAUGCUGCAACAGUUUCUGUUAGAUUUCCUUCACAGUUUUGGAUCUUUAUAUGGAUUUUUAGCAAUAAUUUCAUGUACGAUAGUAAGAUCAUCGCUCACAGAAAAUCUAUCGUGUCAUAACGUUACUCAAAUAGACUUCCCGCUAUAUCUCGAGAAAUAAUGUUGCUUGUUAAUGUUAUUCGCAGGAUUUUUAUAUCUAGCAUUCAAUAAUCUUGUACAGAAUUCUGAAUAUUCUCGUAUUUUUGUGUAUUUUUGAAACAGUUCUGGCAUUUAUCAUUAAAACAUACUGAAAGAGUUGGUUAGAGAAGGAAAUGUGGUAAACAUGAUAAAAUAAACUUUCUUGAAUUUAGAAAUAUUCAUGUACCAAGUAAUAAUAUUUUAUUAAUUAUUUUUUGGUUUUAUUAUGUUACUUUAUCAUUAACAUGAAUAUUAUUUGGAAUCGGAUAAUAAAUCAAUUCCUUCAAUGAUUGAUUUCA
rnacentral:lncRNA from 1 species